UACGUAGGUGGCAAGCGUUGUCCGGAUUUACUGGGCGUAAAGGAUGCGUAGGCGGACAUUUAAGUCAGAUGUGAAAUACCCGAGCUUAACUUGGGUGCUGCAUUUGAAACUGGUGUCUAGAGUGCAGGAGAGGUAAGUGGAAUUCCUAGUGUAGCGGUGAAAUGCGUAGAGAUUAGGAAGAACACCAGUGGCGAAGGCGACUUACUGGACUGUAACUGACGCUGAGGCAUGAAAGCGUGGGAGCAAACAGG
rnacentral:rRNA from 1 species